ensembl:lncRNA
CAACUUUCCUCCUUUCUUAGUGGUGGUAGUAGUAGUGUCAGUCGCUCAGUAAUGUCUGACUCUUUGCAGUCCCACAGAUUGUAGCCCGCCAAGCUUCUCUGUCCAUGGGUUUCUCCAGGCAAGAAUAGUGGAGUAGAUUGCCAUACCCUUCUCCAGAGGCUCUUCCUGACCCAGGGAUUGAACCUGGCUCUCCUGUGUUGCAGGAAGAUUCUUUACCGUUUGAGCUACAGGGAAGAACUUUCUUUCUUACUUCUCUUUUAUCCUUUACUCAAGCAUAAGAAAAAAAAAAAAAAGAAUAUUUUAAGAAUAGAAUUCUUUCCCAAGUGCCAGGUGAUAUUCAGGAGACCUAACUCAGGGGGAAAAAUAGGUAAAGGUAUGCUAUGAAGCCCUAUUACAAGCCAAAAUGCAGGUAUUAUACUGUGCAUUAAAUAUUAUAUUAGAAAUUUCAUAUAUAUUACUGAAUUCAAUCCUAAAGCUACCUUAGUGAAUUACAAACUUUUAUCAGUCACCCCAUCCUACUAAUGAAGAGACUAGGUUUAGAAUAGAUAAGUGUCUUAUUCAAUAUGAAAAACUAAAUAACUAGGCUUGUCAACAAAUGAUGCUAGGGUAACUGAAUGUCCUUAUAGAAUACACAAAGUUGGGCCUUUCCCCAAAACACACAAAAAUCAACUCAAAGUGAAUCAUAGAUGAAAAUCUAAGAAUUAUGUGUGAUAAAACUCUUAGAAGAAAACAUACAAAUAAACCAUUACCUUGGGUUAGGUAAAGACUUCCUAGACAUAAUACCAAAAGAAGAAACAACAGAAAGAAAAUUAAAUGAAUUGAAUGACAUGAGAGCUUAAAAUACUUGUACAUUAAAGGACACUAUCAAUGAAGUGAAAGAUAACUCACAGUAAGGGAAAAAUAUCUUCAAGACAAAUAUAUGAGAAUUAUAUGCAGAAUAUAAGACUAAUUUCUAUGACUCAAUAAUAAAGAGACAACUCAAAUUAAAAAUGGCAUGGAAUCCAAAGAAUAUGCAAAUGCCCAAUAAACACUUGAAAAAUGUUCAAUAUCAACAGUCAUUAAGGAAAUUCAAAUCAAAGCCAUAAUGAAGUAACACAACACUUCCCACCCACUAGGAUAGCUAUAAUAACAAGCGUUGUAAUGGUUUGAAAACCCUGAAACACUUGUGGACUGAUGAUGGGAAUACAAAUUGUGCAGUUGCUUUCAAAACAGUUUCAUAGUUCCUCACAAUAUUAGUGUUUUCACGUGACCCAGCAAUUCUACUCCUUGUAUAUACUUAAGACAAAUGAAAACAUAUGUCCACACACAAACUAUUGGGCAUGACAGUGAUUGAAAAACAACACAAAGGUGAACCUUGAAAAUAUGCUAAAUGGCCAUAUAUUGUUCAAUUAUAUUAUGACUUAUGAAGAAUUGGCAAAUAUAUAGAACCAGAAUAAAGUCUAGUUUCCUAGAAACUGAGAGUGGGCUUUCUUAGUGGCUCAGUGGUAAAAAUACAACUGGCAAUGCUGGAUAGGGGGGUUUGAUCCCUGGGCUGGAAAGAUCCCCUGGAGAAAGAAAUGGCAACCUACUUCAGUAUUCUUUCUUGGAAAAUCCCAUGACAUAACUCUGGUGGGCUAUAGUCCAUAGGAUCGCCAAGAGUCAGACAGGAUGUACCGACUAAACAACACAUAACUGAGGAUAGGGUGUAGGACUAGGGAGUGAUUGUUAAUCAGUAGAGGGUUUCAUUUUGGGGAAUGAAAAUGUUGU